GGAGUUAGCCGGUGCUUCUUCUGCGAGUAACGUCACAGAUGUAAGGUAUUAACUUACACCCUUUCCUCCUCGCUGAAAGUGCUUUACAACCCGAAGGCCUUCUUCACACACGCGGCAUGGCUGCAUCAGGGUUUCCCCCAUUGUGCAAUAUUCCCCACUGCUGCCUCCCGUAGGAGUCUGGGCCGUGUCUCAGUCCCAGUGUGGCUGAUCAUCCUCUCAGACCAGCUAGGGAUCGUCGCCUAGGUGAGCCUUUACCUCACCUACUAGCUAAUCCCACCUGGGCUUAUCCAUCAGCGCAAGGCCCGAAGGUCCCCUGCUUUCCCCCGUAGGGCGUAUGCGGUAUUAGCAGUCGUUUCCAACUGUUAUCCCCACAAAUGGGCAAAUUCCCAGGCAUUACUCACCCGUCCGCCGCUCGUCAUCUUCAAAAGCAAGCUUUUGAAAUGUUACCGCUCGACUUGCAUGUGUAGCNGCGCAGCGUCAUCUGACAAGAUACAAUACUGA
rnacentral:rRNA from 1 species